rnacentral:rRNA from 1 species
CAGCCCUAAACGAUGCGCGUUAGGUGUAUCGGUGACCACGAGUCACCGAGGUGCCGAAGGGAAACCGUGAAACGUGCCGCCUGGGAAGUACGGUCGCAAGGCUGAAACUUAAAGGAAUUGGCGGGGGAGCACCACAACGGGUGGGGCCUGCGGUUUAAUUGGACUCAACGCCGGGAAGCUCACCGGAUAAGACAGCGGAAUGAUUGCCGGGCUGAAGACCCUGCAUGACCAGCUGAGAGGAGGUGCAUGGCGUAGACGUCU